UGGAGAUAGAUUGAAAUACUAAUAAAAAAGAAACAAAAUGUACUUAAAUCUUUUAACUUUAGAGAACAUAUCACAAAAUUUCCAUAAUAUAGAACACAUUAGACUCCUCUAUGAUAGAAAACUGAAAAAGAAAUAUUGAAAAAGUGCCUUCCCCUUUUCCAAAAUCCACUCAUCUCAAUAAAAUGAUUUGAAUCUGAUUUAUCCUCUAUAUUGGAAUGGGUGACAUCUCCCCCCUCCUUGAGCCCAAGUAUCAUAUAUCGGUAAAAUAUUCAUUUGACAACCAUUACAGUCGAAUGCCCGCAAAUAUGAAACCAUACCUUGGAUCCACUGGUUUAGUAACAUAUGGUCCCAAUUUUCUGCCAAUAGGAAUACCCUGCUGUUGUGGACUGUUGGCGGGUGGGUGUAGAGGAAGGGGGCAUUUUGCCCAGCUGGAUUAAAUCUACUAGGAAUAAUUACUGGACAUUUGUCUCAUUUUAGAUAUAAAAGCAUUCUGUUUUUUCUUCUAUAUGGUCAAUUUCCCCCUUCUGCUGGUUAGGUUAUGUUUGGACAUUAGACCAAGCUAUGGGACAACUUGACAUGUUGAGAGCUUGAUGUUGAAUAGCUUCACUUAUGAUCUGCAUUAACCUAACUUUAAAAUCCUGUUAUCGAUCCGAAGAGG
rnacentral:lncRNA from 1 species